rnacentral:lncRNA from 1 species
UUCUGAACCAGUGGCUGGUUCUUCAGGCAUCUUGGAACCUGAAGUAUGGUGGAGUAUUUACUCCAGGAAACCAGACUAACUGUUUUUCAUCUACAGGUUACUCUGGAAGAACUUCCUAGGCUCAAACAAAACCCCAAAUUACGUACGGACCAGGGGAAGGACACUCAGUUUUGUUGGCUUCAUCCUGUGACUCCCUGCCUGUUAGAUUGA